rnacentral:rRNA from 1 species
UACAGAGGGUGCGAGCGUUGCUCGGAAUCAUUGGGCGUAAAGAGCGUGUAGGCGGCCCGGUAAGUCCGCUGUGAAAGUCGGGGGCUCAACCCUCGAAUGCCGGUGGAUACUGUCGGGCUAGAGUGCGGAAGAGGCGAGUGGAAUUCCUGGUGAUAGCGGUGAAAUGCGCAGAUAUCAGGAGGAACACCAAUUGCGAAGGCAGCUCGCUGGGACGUAACUGACGCUGAGACGCGAAAGCGUGGGGAGCAAACAGG